GAUCAUGGCUCGGGAUGAACGCUGGCGGCGUGCCUAAUACAUGCAAGUAGAACGCUGAAGGAAGGAGCUUGCUCUUUCCGGAUGAGUUGCGAACGGGUGAGUAACGCGUAGGUAACCUGCCUGGUAGCGGGGGAUAACUAUUGGAAACGAUAGCUAAUACCGCAUAACAGUAGAUGUUGCAUGACAUUUACUUGAAAGGUGCAAAUGCACCACUACCAGAUGGACCUGCGUUG
rnacentral:rRNA from 1 species